rnacentral:lncRNA from 1 species
UUUGCGUCCUGCCUGUGGCCUGUCCUUCCCAGAGCAAAGAGGGCCAUCUCUGCCUGACUGAAGCAGCUCUCACCUGGCUUCCUGCACCAGUUCUGUGGUUAACAUCUGUAGCUGCUCACGGACCAGUGGACUUUCUCUGAAUCUCUGAGGCUCAGGAUUCUGAGAAACCCAGUAGCAGCCUUGCCACCCACCACUGUCACAGCAUGGGGUUUUCAACAACAAAUAAGGCUAUAAGAAGAUGAAGAAGCAGGGUGCCCUCCAGGUAACCCUGAGGGAAGAAAGAAGUCACUGUGGGUGUAAUUCCCUGGAUUCAUCACACGAGACUAAAGAGCAUCCUGGAACUGGAAGACUGUGGAUGAGCCUGGAAAUGCCCCUCCUAUAGGCUGGGACCCAUGGAAAUGAAGAUCAAACAAAUAAGUAAAGCCUAACAAAUGAUCUUUCUACUUUUCUUGUUGGAGAGUUUGUCUUCUAAAAUAGUUAGGCAGACACUCUAUACAUGAUUUCCUUCAUGUUAUUAUUGACAUAAUCGUCUGUUCUUGGCUACAUUUUGCCGAACCCCAGCAAACUAACUAUUAUGAUUUCAGUGUAUAG